GUGGGGAAUUUUGGACAAUGGGCGAAAGCCUGAUCCAGCCAUGCCGCGUGCAGGAUGAAGGCCUUCGGGUUGUAAACUGCUUUUGUACGGAACGAAAAGACUCCUUCUAAUAAAGGGGGUCCAUGACGGUACCGUAAGAAUAAGCACCGGCUAACUACGUGCCAGCAGCCGCGGUAAUACGUAGGGUGCAAGCGUUAAUCGGAAUUACUGGGCGUAAAGCGUGCACAGGCGGUUAUAUAAGACAGAUGUGAAAUCCACGGGCUCAACCUGGGAACUGCAUUUGUGACUGUAUAGCUAGAGUACGGUAGAGGGGGAUGGAAUUCCGCGUGUAGCAGUGAAAUGCGUAGAUAUGCGGAGGAACACCGAUGGCGAAGGCAAUCCCCUGGACCUGUACUGACGCUCAUGCACGAAAGCGUGGGGAGCAAACAGGAUUAGAUACCCUUGUAGUCC
rnacentral:rRNA from 1 species